UAAAUUAAGCACCUUCAAUGAUUCCAUAUUAUGCAACUCCCUAGGAACAUCAUCAAGUCUUGAACAACCAGAUAAGAUAAGCUCUUCAAGUGAUAUUAAUGAACCAAUUGUCCUUGGAAGUUUCCUAAGACUUGUGCAAUCUUUAAGGUUCAAGAAAGUAAGCAUCUUUAACUCACCAAUGGAUUGAUCAAUUUCCACCAAAUUUAUGCAAUAUUUGAGCAUCAACUUCUCAAGGCUAGGGAGUCCUGAAAAGCUUGGGGUUUUAAGAAGGCUAUGUGAAUGGUUGAGAUUAAGGAUCUUUAAAUUUGGGAGGCACUGCAAAAAAAGAAAGCCCUUCAUUAAUUAUAUAUUAUUGUUUCACACACACACAAAAAGGAGUAUUAGUAUAUAUCAUACCUCUGUAUCCUUCCAAACUUGUUUAAGUUUACUGUUGCGCAUGUCGAGAACAACUAGUUCAUUGAUAUCAAAAUCCACCGGAAAAGAUUGCAUCCAAAACCCAUGCCAACGUAACCAUCUUAAUCUUUUGGGAAAGUCUUUGAAGUCUCCUUAAGUCUUACAUAAUCCAGUUGAAGCAGUUUAAGUCUCUUCAUCUUUGCAAAUGCUUGAGUUUCCAUAUCAACAUCAUUUGCCAUCAGAAACUGACUUUUGGAAUGCUUUGGAAAAUGUAGAGUUGUAUUUGUCCUUUUAGCCUUGUCUUCUAGCAAUCUUUUUAGGUCAAGUGUGAGGCACUUAACUGUUCUGGAACCCUGCAUCAGAAAAACUUUUUUAAAAAAUAAAAAGAAAUUUGAUAAAAAAAAAGUAGAUUACAUGCACACAAGAAAAAAGUUGAGUAAAAUGAUGUUUCUUACAAUUUUUUCUCUUAUUACAUCAAAGGCGUUCUUAUGCCACAAUCUGCUUCGUUUCCCAAUAUUAGAAGAUUCUUGACGAAUAAUUUCUCGUCCCAUAUCUCUAAUCAUUUGGUGCAUCAUUAGCUUGUUUUUUUCAUUAAUGAUUAAGAGAGACCUGCCUACUAGAUUUUCAAUUCCAAUUGUUGUAUAGAAAUCACAACCAUCUAGAAUUGUAGUCGUGUAAUCUCUAUCCUUCCCAAUGAAUAAACAAACUAUGUCGAGGAAUAAAUUUUUAUCAUGAUCGUCUUCCAAAGAAUCAUAGCUUAUUCUUAGAAUCUCUUGAAUUUUGCUGUCAGGGAUUUCUUCCAAUUUCUCCAAUGCACUUUUCCAAGAACUCACACUUUUGCUAGAUAAUGAAGAGCCCAAAACUUGAAGAGCUAACGGAAGCCCACCACAGUGUUUCACUAAACUUCUUGCAUAUGCCAUUAAACUUUCAGGCACAGAGUUAUGACCAAAAGCAUACCAAUUAAAAAGUUGCAGCGAUUCACUUGAUGCUAAUUCUUUUACUUCAAAUAGCUUGCUUAAGCCUCCACAACUAGUUGAUGCUUCCAACUCAAACAUUUGGCUUAUAAAAUGUGCAUUCAAUAGGCAUCGGUUUCUACUAGUUAUGAUGAUUUUACUUCCCAAAUGAAAAGGUAUUUGAGUUCCCAUUAAUUUUCUUAUUUUUUCCAAUUCAUCAACAUCAUCAAGAACAAGAAGAACUCUUCUACAACAUACAAUUUCUUUGAUCUUGUUAAUUCCAUUAUCUAUAUUGUAUAUUUUAUAGUGUAUUUCCUUUAAGGAUAUCUGAAAUAAGUUGCCUUUGCAAACGGACUAAACCAUUGCAAUCUGGACUUGUUUCUCUAACAUCAGCAAGGAAACUAUAACCUUCAAACCUCGGGAUGUUUUGAUUGUAAACAACUUUGGCAAUGGUUGUCUUCCCAAUGCCGCCAAUGCCACAAAUAGUUGCAAUGCCAACUUUAUUUGCUCCAUCUUGUUCUAACCAUUGAUUAAUUUGUGUCACGAGAGAAUCUAUUCCAACUAAAUAAGGAGGGACAUACAAAGAAAUAAGAUGAAGUUUAUUUUGAACUUCUUUAACAAUAUCUUGAAUGAAUUGUGAUUCAUGCCUGCAAAUUUAAAAAAUACAACUCAAUGGUAAAAUUUUAGAAAUUAAGUAAAAGUUACUAAUGCAUUUUCUCUUUUCUUGCAUAUAUUUUGAUUGUUUUUAUGAGAUUAUAUGUUCAAAUAAAAAUAAGAAACUAAUGCAACAUUUCAACAUAUAUGAUAGAAUUAUUGCAUUCAAAAUCAAAUCAAAUCAAAUAAAGCAACAUAAAAAUUAAUGAAAUUCAUUUGAGAAACAACCUAUACUCUAAAUUUCAACUUUCUCUUUGUGAAAGUUUAAUAACAUGAAUUUAUAUAUUUAUUUUUUAUUCAUUGUAAUAUUUUGAAUAUGUGUAGACCCAUUACACGAAUAACUUAGAUAUAAUUGUUGCAAAUAUACUACUGCAAAAUAGAAUUGUUACAAGAGACCAAACUGAAUGUCAAUAAAAUAAGAAUCAUUGUGUCGUGAAAGAAUCACUGCAUUAGAGGCAAAUUCGCCUUGAUCGGUGUAAUCGUAUAGUGGACGUUACCCCCCAACAAAAUACUCCAAUAUUCGUACACCCGAAGGUGGAACAUGAUUAACAUUACUUUUCCCAAAAAAAAAGUUCAAUUCCCAAGAAAGAUUAAGGAGGUCACAAACAGUCUCGCUUAAAACCUAAUCUCUUAGACAAAAUUUCCCUCUCGUGUAAUUUUGCAGAACACUAGAAUUUAGAGAACAUAGAGAAGUUGUUUUUCUCUUGUUGUGUUAGGUGGGAGAAUGACCUCCUAUUUAUACUGUUUUUUGAUGGGCAAAAUGGUAAAAUAAUAGUUUUAAUUUCCAAAAAUAGUAAAUGAUUUUCCUAACUGAAAAUAUUCUAAAAAUAUUUUCUGCAACGAUUUUCUGCAAUUCAAAAUAUUCUUUUGCAUUAUCAACAAUGACAUCUUAGAAAACCACAAAUAGUGUCAUUAAAUUCAAGAGGCUAUUUCUUUUUGUUUUCAACUCGUCAAAUCCAAGUUGUUCAUGUGAUUUAAAAACAUCCCACAUUAGAUUCGAGCUAAUAUUUAAUGCUUAAGCUGAUGACUUGUUUGAUAGAAAGACCAUAUUCAUACAAUACUAAUAUUUUAAUGACUCAAUUAAAACAUGUUAAUGUUUCUGAGUUAUAAUUAACCCUUUAAAAUGGAUUGAUGUAACCAUUUUAAUUUCCAAACGCUACCUAACAAUAUUUUCUAUUAAUUUUAUUUCUACUCUAUCAAGUCUUAAUGAAAAGGAUUGAAGUAACCAUAUGGAAUUGGAUUAUGUGUAUAACGUACCUGUCUUGCAGAACCAUGCCUCCUAUAUCCGCAACUUCUUUUAAAGCAUUUCUCCAUCUUUGUACCAUGUUGGUUUCGGACUCGAAGUUUUGUUCAUGUUGGGUAAAUGCUUCUGCAUAACUUCCCGUCUGAUUCUUGACUUGACUCGGAUCCACAUCAUAGAAAACUGGCAACACACUAUGUUUAGAGGAUUUCUUGUGCUCCAAUAUCAUUACAAGUUCGUUAAGACACCAUGUGGAUGCAGCAUAAUUCUUUGAGAAAACAACGAUAGAAAUUUUGGAGUGAUGUAGUAUUGCUUUUUCAAUUUCAUCUUUUAUGUUAUUCCCUCUCUCGAUUUCCUCAUCAUCUCUAAAUGUUUGAAUUCCUAAGUGCACCAAAGCUGUGUAAAGAUGAUCCGUGAAACUUUUGCGCGUAUCUUCACCUCUAAAACUCAAGAAUACAUGAUAACUACAUCGCGAGAUUUCUGACAUUGCCAUUGAAGAAGAAAAUGAAGCCGUCCUGUANNNNNNNNNNNNNNNNNNNNNNNNNNNNNNNNNNNNNNNNNNNNNNNNNNNNNNNNNNNNNNNNNNNNNNNNNNNNNNNNNNNNNNNNNNNNNNNNNNNNCAAAGCAGAUAUUAUUAGCAGUCAAGUGGCAGUUCCCAAUCCAUGGUGGGUCAAUCCUUCCACCAGUUCAUACAACUGCCCGAAGAAAUUCAUGUCGGCCGUGUUGUUUUUUUCCAAAUCUACCAACUUGGGUUACGUAUUCUAUAUUAUUAAUUUUGCUUGACAAAUACAAUCUAUUGAUUAACUUGAUGGUUAUAGCUAACACAACACGUAAUAUAGACAUCAUCUUCAGGCUAAUAUUAGUAAAAAUACUAUGAAGGUUGUUGUAUUUUAAGUCAUACUAUAUUUUGUUUCCUCUACUUAAAAAAUAAUAAAUUAGUUAUUGUAUAUUAGAUUAGAAAGUAAACUAGUUCUUUUGUUAAAAAAUUUAUCCAUUGUUAUUGUUAAAAAUUAGUCCAUGUAAUAAACAUGAGGUACAUGUGACACGUCACAUGCAACUAUCUAAUUAUUUCGUCAUUCACGUUAGUUUUUAACAACAAAAAUGGAUGAAACUUUUAAUAAAAAUGAUAAAUUUAUUCUUUUAUCUAUGUAUAUGGACUAAUUUGCUUGUUUUUAAAUAAAAUGGGUUAAAUACAAUUUGACUCUCAAUAGAAUGAUCUCCAUGAUACUUUUACCGGCUAAUACCUUGGUGGAUACACUCAAUAAUUAAACCACAACCACAAUAUAUCACAUAGACAUCACAUUAAACAUUCAAGUUCAGUAUAGUAAAGAAACAAUUUUAGUAUCUAUGCAUGAAUGAAGAAUUAAUUGUUUUAGAAAAAGAAUUGGUGAUUAAAUUGAUCAGGUCGUCAAUUUUUUAUUUGAUUUAUUCGUGUUAUCUAAAGUAAAUAAAUUUUUAAAAAUUAAAAAAUAAUAAAAAUUCACGUAUAUUGCACGUUAAAGUAAAUUGAAAAUGAGAAUUGAGAGGGACAUAAGAGAAGGAGAAUAAUUCCGAAGUCAUGCUUAAGGAAAUUAGUGGCACUAGAAAACGCGUUUCAAUCGCUUUUCAUUUCGGAGUCAUGCUUACGGUCCAUUUGGUGCUCACCAUUUUUAUUAAAAAUAUUAUCUGAAUAGAGUUUUUCAACAGAGGUAGUAGAAAGGAAGGAAAACGUCAAAGUUGUACACUUUAAAAAAAUUAUAUUAUCAGACCUUAAACAAUGAUUUGUCGGCCUUAAAUUAGCAAUUAAAGAGGAUGGGAUAAGGGUAAGGUUGAGUAAUUGAUUCAAAAUUUCAUGCUGAGGGCAACUAGCACAAAAUUGUUUAAAUAUUUUCCAGUACUCAUUAAGGAUCUUCAUAUCCUUUUUGUGGUAUGGCAUAGAUUUCUUUCCUAAUUGAAGCACAAAGUGAAGAAAAAGAAAAUUCAACGAAUAUUCUUACCAUAUCUAUUUUAAAAUUUUAAUAUAAUUAAUGAAAAACAAUUCACAUAUAUGAAUCAUCAAAUUUGAGGUGCUUAGAGAAUCCCAUGUGAUGGCCUGAUGAUUAAGGUUGUUCAAAAUACAUGAAUGAUAAAAUUUAACGUGAUUAAAUAAAUAUUGAAUUUUGUUAUAUUUUUAAUAAUAAAUAUAGGUAAAAUGGUAAUAAAUUGGUAUUUUAAUGCCAUUAAAAACGUGUCAGAUAAAUAUUAGAUUAGAUAUUCAAUAUUAAUAAUCAAUAUAUAUUAAUUGAAUUAUACAUUAUAAUUAAGGAUGAGUGUCGAAAUUCAAAAUUGUAAAUAUUAAUAUAUAUUGAAUUAAAUUACUACCAUACAUAAUCUUAUUCAAAUAAUAAUAAUGAAAAAAAUGAGUGUUUAAGACAAUUUCGUUGUAUUUGUUUGUUCUAUGAUCCAACUAUAGUAGGUAAGCGUGGUGUAGGUUCAUCGUACUCCCAUCCAAUGGCUUUAAUUUGCUCUAAUGGAAUCGAAAAUGAAUCAAUCCUUUUAACUUCUUCUUCCUCUUCAUCAUCGAAAAUUGACUUUAUUUCCAAAAAAAAGUUUUGGAUCAAUUUUGGAGUUCCAAUCAAUAUCAUCUAUAUACAUAUCUGUUGCAUUACUUGGCAACUUAUUUGUGCAACGAAAACGAUGAUAACAUUCCCAGAAUCUAUGUUUGGCUUUCUAAAAAGCUUUUAAACCAGCUGAAUCAUCCCAUCAGAAUACUUUAUCGGUUUUCAACAAAUUAUUCUUUGAUUCAACAAAUCUUUUCCAUGGUAUUGCACCCACUUUUAUGCAGAAUUUUUUCUCCCAUGCUGGUAAUGGUUCCCAUGAAUUAUUGUUAUCAUUCGGUUUGGGACGAGUAAAUUUCUUUUUUUUAGUAACUUUGUUGGCGAUUAUGAUAUCUUCUUUGAUAGUAUGACACGAUUUCUUGUAAUCCAAACAAAUAAAGGAAUUGAAAUCGCUAAUGAUAUGGAUUUACAGCGAGGGGACUUGUUGGGUUUAUAUAUAAGAUUAUUAGAGUUGGUGGUGACUCAAUCCUUUUCCAACAAUUCUAAUUUCAGUUUGAUUAUUGAUGGGUGUCGAAUCCACCAAUAUAAACCUACACCUAAUUUUGCAAAUUUAAACAGUAUAAGGAGUAGGGUCGAUCCCUCAGAGACUGGGUUUACUGCAAAUUGUUGCUCUCUUGACCAGAUUUAUGUCGGGGCAGUUGUCGUGCCCAAGAAAUUUGGGGGAAGGAUAAAAUCGAAAACCUGGAACCUGAAAUAAAUAAAUAAAUAAAAUGAGUAAAAAGUAAAAGCUGCAAAUAAAUAAUAAAAGGCAGUUAAAUAAAUCUGAAGAAAAAUUAAUUAAAAUAAGCUCAGCUUUAGGCACGGAUUUUUCCUCGUCUUUGAACCAAUCCUCGAAAUUAGAUGAACUCCUCUUUUCCAAUAAGCUAGUUAUAGCUACCAAGGACGCCUCGGACACCAACUCUUCCUUGUGUAAAUUAGUUAUGGAACGUCCAAUAACUAACCCUUACCAAUCGAACAACCACGAAACGUUCGUGAUUUAGAACUUCUGCAGCUUUGCGUUCUAGAAGAGCCUAGCUCGAACCAAUGCCCUCAACCGCGUGGGNNNNNNNNNNNNNNNNNNNNNNNNNNNNNNNNNNNNNNNNNNNNNNNNNNNNNNNNNNNNNNNNNNNNNNNNNNNNNNNNNNNNNNNNNNNNNNNNNNNNNNNNNNNNNNNNNNNNNNNNNNNNNNNNNNNNNNNNNNNNNNNNNNNNNNNNNNNNNNNNNNGAUCUGACUUUGUGAGUUGACAAAAUCAUACUCUUAAUCCGAAGAAAUAAUAAGUACUGGAAUUUAGGGUGUGUAACUCACGGGUUUUGACGAGGCUAAUUCCGGCCUAAAGCUGAAAUGGAUACUUAAUAAAAAAAACUUGGUAAUAAAAAACUUGAUUAAUAACUUGAUUCAAGACUUGAUGAUAAAAUGAACAAAGUAGUCCACUAUUUAUACUAGUGGCUUUGCUAAAUUAAGAGCCAACUAGUAUAGAAAAUCAAGGAAUAAAAUAUUAAAAAUCCCUACAUAAUCUCCCACUAAGUCAACAAAAAUUUCAGCUAAUUAAUCUUGGAAAAAUUCUACUUUGGUCCUCCUUCUUUGCUUCUUUCUUCAAUCUAGCCCAAUUGUCUCAUUUUUCUUCUAUUUAGCCCCAAAUUGCACUCCUACACAAAAUUCAACAAAAACAUGGAAAAAUUAGUGUUGCACUCUCAUAAAUUAACCAAUUUAAUUACAUAAAAUAUGUAACUUUAGCAUUUAAACAAAUCCCCCUACUUAGCUUAUGCUAGUCCUCGAGCAUUUUGUAUGUAUCUACAAAAAGAAAAAAAAUUUCUCCAAAAUAGGGCUUGACCACCAUGAUUUGCACAAUUCAACAAUUUAAUCCUAGCACAUUAACAUCUCAAAUAACCUAGCCUAAGAAGUAAGUAAAUAUAUUUCAGAAUUUAUUAGAGCUUGAUAGACCUACCCCUAAUUUAUUUUUAUUUAUAAUAAUAAUAAUAAUUUUUUGUGUACUUAGGACAUUUUCGAAUUUUUUUUACGCGAGACAAGAUGACAACCCAAGCACCAUGUUCUGGUUACUCGAUUCGGAUGUCUCUAAGCGGGUUAUUUCGCCCUACUCGUGAUAGCUUGUUAACGGAGUGAGUGCAAAGAAAUUAUAUAGUCACACUUUGCGCGAGAUGUGAUGACAACCCAAGCACCACAUUCCGGUUACUCAGCCUGAUGUACAACCCCAAUAUUUCACUCUUAACAUUCGUAUCAGAUGAGUAUUUAUUCAUUUCUUCUUUUUUUCUCUUUUUUUUCUCUCUUUGUUUUUUUAAAGAAGAGAAGGAAAAAAAUUGAGAUGUGAUAUGAGGUAGGCAGUCAAGCAAACUCAUAAUUCCUAAAAAAAAAAAUCUUUCCCACUACGUCUAGCCUAUUGAAAAGUUUGUGUAAAGAACUAAAUAGCUAAAUAGGUCAAACCAUAAGUGUACCAUCCUAAUUUAUCAAAAGAAAAAUUUUACCUUUCACGAAAAAUAUGCAAAAACAACGACAACGAAUAAGCAAAAUAGAACUAAUAUAUGUUCCCUUCCCCCUACUUAUUUUAUAUUGUCCCUAAUGUAAUUUGAAUUGAAUUAAAUGAUAAAAAGUAAAGGUAAGUAGGGAAAGGAAAAAGAAACUCUCGAUGUAUUUCAACGUCGUGGAGGGUUGCCUAGUAGGUGUGUCCACGGUGUUAAAUGGUGGGUAGGUGGAUUGGGCCUUUGCUGAAAUUAAAAGAAUUUUGUAGGCUGACAUGGGGGAUUUAAUUUUGUCUUGGAAUGUCUCCCUGUUAUUCAAAUUUUGGGCUCCUCGAGAACAAUUGUAAGUGUUGCUAGUCCCCGGCAACGUCGCCAAAGCUGAUGGGUGUCGAGUCCACCAAUAUAAACCUACAUCUAAUUUUGAAAAUUCAAGCAGUAUAGGGAGUAGGGUCGAUCCCUCGAGACUGGGUUUACUGCAAAUUGUUGCUCUCUUGACCAGAUUUAUGUCGGGGCAGUUGUCGGGCCCAAGAAAUUUGGGGGAAGGAUAAAAUCGAAAACUUGGAACCUGAAAUAAAUAAAUAAAAUGCGUAAAAAGUAAAAGCUGCAAAUAAAUAAUAAAAGGCAAUUAAAUAAAUCUGAAGAAAAAUUAAUUAAAAUAAGCUCAGCUUUAGGCAUGGAUUUUUCCUCGUCUUUGAACCGAUCCUCAAAAUUAGAUGAACUCCUCUUUUCCAAUAAGCUAGUUAUAGCUACCAAGGACGCCUUGGACACCAACUCUUCCUUGUGUAAAUUAGUUAUGGAGCGUCCAAUAACUAACCCUUACCGAUCGAACAACCACGAAAUGUUUCGUGAUUUAGAACUCCUGCAGCUUUGCGUUCUAGAAGAGCCUAGCUCGAACCAAUGCCCUCAACCGCGUGGGACAUUUAAAUCCAGUUACUACUUCCCUUGACGGAACCAAACAGCAAUCUCCACUUGGCACGCCAAUGUGUUCACAGAAAACCGAUUGGAAACGUUCCUUUCGGAAUUCCAACUGUACGUCUAACCACACUAAAUCAAACGACGUCUUUUUUGACUUAAUGUUGAUCUGACUUUGUGAGUUGACAAAAUCAUACUCUUAAUCCGAAGAAAUAAUAAGUACUGGAAUUUAGGGUGUGUAACUCACGGGUUUUGUCGAGGCUAAUUCCGGCCUAAAGCUGAAAUGGAUACUUAAUAAAAAAAACUUGGUAAUAAAAAACUUGAUUAAUAACUUGAUUCAAGACUUGAUGAUAAAAUGAACAAAGUAGUCCACUAUUUAUACUAGUGGCUUUGCUAAAUUAAGAGCCAACUAGUAUAGAAAAUCAAGGAAUAAAAUAUUAAAAAUCCCUACAUAAUCUCCCACUAAGUCAACAAAAAUUUCAGCUAAUUAAUCUUGGAAAAAUUCUGCUUUGGUCCUCCUUCUUUGCUUCUUUCUUCAAUCUAGCCCAAUUGUCUCAUUUUUCUUCUAUUUAGCCCCAAAUUGCACUCCUACACAAAAUUCAACAAAAACAUGGAAAAAUUAGUGUUGCACUCUCAUAAAUUAACCAAUUUAAUUACAUAAAAUAUGUAACUUUAACAUUUAAUGAAUUAUGAUUUCUAUUUUCUAAAUAUUUGUAUAAUAAAAUUAUUAAAAAAUAAUUAUAUUUGUAUUGAUAAUAUUUUCUUAUUAAAUGAGUUUUAUAAGUUAAAUAGCAAUCAAACCAAGACUGGGAGACUGAACUGCAUUAGGUCUUGGGGGUGAUCCAUCGCUUCAACCACUAUCUACUAUCCACCAUCCACCAUCUACAUCCUUCCCCUAUAUAAACUCUGCAAAUAUAUAUAUAUAGAGAGAGAGAGAGAGCGACACACACACACACAAAUUAUGGAAGGCAGGAAAGUUAGAUAUCAAAUACGGUUGCAUGGUGGUUUCACAGCCGCUAUUUCAAAAUAGCUAAAGAUCUCAUUAGUUGUGUGAACAAAUUUCAUAUGUUCUUCGAAAUCCAAAGCAGAAAAAUCACAUACAGAGGCUGGGAUCAGAUAACUGAUACUCAUGUACAAAUUUAAGGGCUUCGAAUUUACCUCAUUUGAUCAGAGUCGUGGUGAGAUGCUCGUUUGGGACAAAGAUCCGUACGAAGAGAGAUGAGGGUAGGAAGGAGUUCUUAAAAAACACAAAGGGUUAAAAUCUUCUAUUAGUCCCUGUACUUUGUAAAAGUUGUGAAUUCAGUUCCUAUCUUUUAAUUUGAAUAAUUUCAGUCCCUUUACUUUUUGAAGUAGUAGUUACAUCCAUUAAGUUCAAUUACUAGUAUUGCACUACACGUAUGGUUGUAGGCUUAGUCUAUAUGCCCUAAUUGGAUCAUUCUAAGUCUCUAUACUUUUUAAAUUUUAAAAUUUUAAUCUCGAUGUAAAUGAUAGUUAUUAAUCAAUUAAUUAGAUUUUUAGUGAGUAAUAUGCGAAAAUAAAAAAAGCUAACAUGACAUUAUACAUAGGAUAAUAUGUAGAUUUGGAUUUGGAUCUUUGGGAACAUGUAGAAGAGGAUUACGAGGUCCCACCACUUCCAGCAAAUCCUACUGUGGCACAGAUUAAAGCACAAAAGGAAAAGAAAACAAGGAAAUCAAAGGCAAAAUCUUGCUUAUUUGCAGCUGUGUCUCAAAUGAUUUUUACACGAAUAAUGUCUCUGAAAUCAGCAAAGGAAAUUUAGGAUUACCUCAAGGCUGAGUAUGAAGGAGAUGAGAGGAUUCGUAGAAUGAAAGUCCAGAAUCUAAUCAGGGAUUUCGAGUUGCAGAAGAUAAAGGAGUCUGAGUCAGUGAAAGAAUAUUCUGACAGACUUCUCAGUAUUGCCAACAAGGUGAGAUUGCUUAGUUCUGAGUUGAACGACUCUAGAAUCGUAGAAAAGCUACUGGUCACUGUUCCAAAGAAGUUUGAAGCCACCAUUACUACUCUGGAGAACACCAAGGACAUGUGUCAAAGAUCUCUCUUGCAGAGCUCUUGAAUGCUUUACAAGCACAAGAGCAAAGAAGAUCCAUGAGGCAAGAGGGAGUGAUAGAAGGGGCCUUACCUGUCAAGCAUCAAGACAAUAAUAGGUAUAAAAAGAAGAAAAAUUUUAAGAACCAGUCGACGAGCGGAGAAAAUUCAUCAGGCAAUUAUCAGAAGAGCAAAAGAGGAGGUGUCAAGAAAUCCUACCCACCUUGUCACCAUUGUGAGAAGAAAAGUCAUCCACCAUUCAAAUGUUGGAAAAGACCUGACGCCAAAUGCUCCAAAUGCAAUCAACUUGGACAUGAAGCAGUGAUUUGCAAGGUCAAAGGCCAGGUGCAAGAACUAGAUGCACAGGUAGCUGAUCAAUAAGAAGAAGAUCAAUUGUUCGUGGUUACUUGUUUCUCAGGCAGAGAAUCAAGUGAGAGCUGGUUGAUUGAUAGUGGGUGCACAAAUCACAUGACGUAUGACAAUGAGCUCUUCGAGGAAUUGAGAACACUGAAGUCAAAAGAGUGAGGAUUAGAAAUGGUGAGUACUUGGAAGUCAAGGGAAAAGGCAUAGUAGCUAUUACAAGCUAUGAAGGUACAAAAUUCUUUUCAGAUGUUUUGUUUUUACCUAAAAUUGAUCAAAAUCUCUUAAGUGUUGGUCAGUUGCUGCUGGAUAAAGGCUAUAAAGUGCUAUUUGAAAAUAAGCAGUGCUUGAUCAGAGAUGCUAAUGGCAGAGACUUGUUCAAUGUCAAAAUGAAAUGAAAAGUUUUGCUCUUAAUCCAAUGGAAAAGGAGCAAAUGGCUUUUAAAUCCAGAGUUAGUGCUACUGAGACUUGGCACAAGAGACUUGGGCACUUUCACCAUCAAGGAUUGCUUUAAAUGUAGUCGAAGAAGCUGGUGGAAGGACUUACAGACAUUGAUGAUGAUCUACCUCAUUGUCGAGCUUGCAAAUUUGGGAAACAACAUAGACAACCCUUUCCUAAACAAGCCUGGAGAGCCUCGAAGAAGUUACAACUUGUUCAUACUAAUCUUUGUGGUCCUCAGAGAACGCCUUCGUUAAAUGGUAGCCUCUAUUACAUAGAAUUUAUUGAUGAUAUAACAAGAAUGUGUUGGAUUUUUUUGUUGAAACAAAAAUUAGAAGUUGUUGGUGUGUUCUAGAAAUUCAAAGCUGGAGUUGAGAACGAAAGUGGAUGCAUGAUUCAGAUUUUAAGAUCUGAUAAUGGCAAGGAGUACACUUCAGAAACUUUUAAUAGUUUUUGUGAAGAGGCUGGAAUUGAGCAUCAGUUGACGGCGCCAUACACUCUACAACAAAAUGAAGUCAGUGAAAGGAGGAAUAGAUUCAUAAUGGAGAUGACUCGAUGUAUGCUUCAUGAGAAGAAUCUUCCAAAAGGAUUUUGGGGAGAAGCUGCAAACGCUGCUGUGUUCUUGCAAAAUCAGAUUUCAACAAAAGCUGUGAAGGAUCAGACGCCAUUUGAAGCUUGGUAUGGUUACAAACCCUCUUUAAAGUUUCUUAGAGUGUUUGGCUGCCUGUGUUUCACUUACAUUCCAUAGGUCAAGCAUGAUAAGCUUGACAAAAAGGCAGAAGCUGGCAUUUUUGUUGGGUAUAGCAUUGUAUCUAAAGCUUACAGAGUCUUUCAACCACACACUGGACGUGUUACUGUGAGCAGAGAUGUUUAUUUUGUUGAAAAUAAGCAAUGGAAUUGGGAAGACUCGACCAAGGUGAACCAAACUUAUAGUGUACCAAAUCGUUUUACCAUUGGCAGCAUGUUAGAAGAGCUUGAAGAUGAAGGGCAAGAUGUUUUGGCUGAUGAUGCACCUGUCAGAGGUACAAGGCUGCUCUCAGACAUUUACCAAAGAUGUAAUAUGGCUAUUUGUGAGCCUGCAGGGUAUGAUGAUGCAAAAAAACAGUCAACAUUGGAUGACUGCAAUGAAGGAGGAGCUUGCGAUGAUCGAAAAAAACAAAACUUGGAAGUUGGUUGAUCGACCUCUGGACAAAAAGAUAAUUGGAGUUUGCAACAUCUAAACAAGGAGUGUUAAGAUCAUGUGUUUAAGAUUGCUGCCAUUUAAUUUUUUCUGUUACUAAAUUUGAAUAAUUCUCCUUGACUUUAGGAGAUUAGAUUUUUGAUUUGUUUGCUAUUUUGUUACCAAAUUUUUAGCAGUUUUUUAGAACCUUUUUUUCUAUUUUUAGCUUGAACUUUUGUAUUUAAAUAGUUGAGGUGCAAAUCAAUUAUUUAUUCAAGUCUUCAAUUAUUUUUCUAUUUAAAAACUUCCCGUCUCUUCUUUCUACUUCAAAUCUCUCGAUCAACCAUCAAAGUUCGAGUUCUAAACAUCAACAGUAUCUUUAAUUAUAUAGCAACAACUCUGAUAAGAUACAGAUAGAAACUUUUGUCUAUUAAAUAUAUAAAGUGACUAUGCAAUUGAUAAUCAUAUACAAUAAUCAACAUUUGACUAAACUUUGCAACCUAUACAAGUUUUUUUGGGAUUUCGACAAAAUAUAAACAUAAACCCCGAGAAGAUACGUAAAACAUUUACUCAUCCAUGGCAACUGACUGAAAAAAUUUGGGUUGUCAUCUUGCUCAUAAUCAUAUACAAGGUCAAUACCAAAUUCUAGCACAGAUAAAUCUGAAAGAACCCGAAGACUAAUAUGAUCACCAGCUUCUAAUUCAUCACCCCUAAAGUUCCAACAAGUCGUCCAGUAUAAGGUAUUCUUAGUUUCAGGAAUUCCCAUAAAAUGUUUGGAGUAGGUCCACUUUGUACCUUUGGUCUCGUUCACAAUUUCAAGGCAUGGUAAAAAUCCAUAUGUUUUAUCAUUCUUGGCAGAAAAAAUGAUAAUCGAAUUUAAGAAGCAACUUAUCUUUCGACUAGAUUUUGGGGGCACUGAUAUUGAAAUCUCAGUCUUGCCAGCUUGAUGGCCAAAGUAAUGACCAUGGUAAUCAAAUGGCAACGGAUCAAAUGUUGUAAUUAUACCGUAAUCAUAUAAUACCUGUAGCAUUGGGUUAGAGAAUGAGUUAUUAAAAAGUAUAUAGUAUAUAAAUAAUUUUAAAAACUUGGAACUUGUAAAGGGAACCUGUGGGGAAGCUACCACUUUUGAUUCUUCUAUAUAACUGCAAAGUUGCACUUUAACAUUUCCAUAAGAUUCCAAACUGGGCAAGUGUUUAGUUAGGUCCAUCUUGAUAUUUCUUGUGGAAACUUCAUCUCCUAAAAUAUGUACAAUAAUGUGUUAUUUAUCAAUUUUAGUGAUCAUCAACAUAAUAUACUUAUUAGAAAGUAAUAGUACUGACUUGAAUGGAGUGAUAAUUAAAGCUUUUAUCAGACACCUAUUUGACACGAAUUCAAAUAGUGACCCAUAUAUUGUAUGAAAAAAAGAUAUCAAAGUAGUAAUGUUAUUAUCACUAAAAUGUAUUCUAAGACUUAUCAGAAAUAAUCAGUUAUACACAUUAUAUCUUUAUUUUUCAUUUUUAUACAAAAUAUAAACUUUAAAACUAUUAAAUAUUUUAAUCAAAACACCACUUUUAUAAUUUUAUCCAUUAUUUUAGUUUCCACUUCUAUUAGAACUAUUGGAUUAAUCAUUUAUCAAACAAUUAACUUAUUUUCAUUAGACCCCAAUUGCAGUAUAACUUUAUAAUUAUCAUUUUAUUAUUAAGCUAAAUUUCUCUCAUAAUCUAUUAAAUUGUCACAUUUCUUGAUAAUUUUUUUUAUUGUAUUAGAAAGUCUUUUAGAGAAACAUUCAUCAUUUCUUGAACAUUUGUUAUUCACAUAGAAAAUGAAAAAUAAAAUAAAUAUAAUAGGAUGUAUUCACUAAAAUAUAAUUAUUUGAAGUCCACUCAUACCUGUAGAUAAGUGCGAAAAGCCAUAUUCAUAUCUAAUGUUGUGUUCUGAUUCAUAAGUAACGCCAAAUUUUCUUAUGCUGAGAUGAAUAGGCACUACCAUGCAACUCACAAGGUCACCACCUUCAAACUGACAGUCCGUUACUGGCCAAUGAAUCAACCACAACAUUGUGUUAUCGUUAGUCUCAGGAAUUCCAAUGAAACUUGAGCGAUAUCUCUGCAUGAUCAUUUUGGUCUCAUUGAAAAUGUGGACACUUGGUAGAAGCUCCAACAUUUGGUCACUAGCUACAGAGAAAACAAUGCAUAAGCUGAACUGAUGGAUCUUUUCAUCUGGAUGAGAUGGUGUUGGCAAAAAAAAAGAGAUUUGAUGCUCGUUAGUGCCAUGCUUAAACCCACUCGGAACUUCACUUCCUAUAAAAAAUGUGCUUGUUAUACCACAUUCUUGCAAGACCUGAUCCAAAAAAACAAGUUAGAUGAUUAAGUAGUGUAAGAGAAAAAAUAGAUUUAAAAUUUAAGUUGGAGAACUAUUGGACCUGUGGGGUAGCUAGCAUUAUGCUGUCUGUUAGGUAGCUAUAAAGUGGCAGUCGAUUUCUGUUAAUGGAAUCUACGUUGAAUAAUCUUCUAAUCUCUUCUGCUUCAAAGUUUUCAAUUGGUUCCAACUUGAAUAGAUCUUCAACCUCCGUCAAUUUUUCACAUCCAAAAAUAUCACAUCGUGUGGAAGAAAAGAAGCAUGGAAGAAUUGCCCCAUAUCCUUUAAAUGGAGAUACUGUCAAGAACUCAAAAACAUUGGGCAAGACUGGAAGCUUUGGAAUCUUUUGGAGUUCAGUGCAAGAAGUCAGUAGAAGCUCAUCAAGUUUUGUAAGGUUUUUUAAGCUUUCGGGUAGGUAAUGAAUUGGGUUUCUACUUAAAUUUAAGGAUUUCAAGGAAGCCAAGUUACAAAGAGCAUUGGGCAUGACAUCAUUAGAUAAUUUGCAACUUCCAAGGCUUAACUUUACCAAAGAGCCCGGUAGAGAUGCCCAAGAGAAACCCAAUCCUUUGCUUCUUUUCUGUAAAAGCCACUGCAACCCCAAUCUUGAUUGAUAUAUGGCAGUUUCAUCUAAAUUAAGCACCUUCAAUGAUUCCAUAUUAUGCAACUCCCUAGGAACAUCAUCAAGUCUUGAACAACCAGAUAAGAUAAGCUCUUCAAGUGAUAUUAAUGAACCAAUUGUCCUUGGAAGUUUCCUAAGACUUGUGCAAUCUUUAAGGUUCAAGAAAGUAAGCAUCUUUAGCUCACCAAUGGAUUGAUCAACUUCCACCAAAUUUAUGCAAUCUUUGAGCAUCAACUUCUCAAGGCUAGGGAGUCCUGAAAAGGUUGGGGUUUUAAGAAGGCUAUGUGAAUGGUUGAGAUUA
rnacentral:lncRNA from 1 species